CGGCAAACAGAUGGGGAAGAAGAGAGAGAAGAAGAGGCCCUCCCUUCAAAAUGUCCAUCGGUAGUGUGGAGUUUGCCAUCGGAGGCUUAAUCGUGGAUACCAAGGUGUUCUAUGGCCAAGAAAGGUCUUUUGCUAUGGGUUUCUGGUAUUUGUGUAGAUUUGGACCCUUCUCAGCUUUGCUCAUUAAAAUUUUUCGGUGAAGGAUUGGAUUUGGGUUUAUGUUUUGGUGAAUAGAUAUUUGGUUCUUUGGCUUUUUCUUUCUCUAAAUUUUCCUAAACGAUAUGUAGUGAUAUUUUUGCAGUGUGCUUAGCUUUGCUGAUUGAAGAAGAUGAAUGGGAAAAUGAGCUCUUCUUCAGCUUCAGAAGGGAGCAGGACGGUACUGGAUCAGUACGUCUGUGCUUAAAGGAAGGAGCUUUUUUGGUGUUUGAGGGAAUUAGGAUUUGGCAAAUCUGAUAUAAAGAGCAUAAAGGUGAGGCUAGGGGCGAUUAAGAAGAAGAGGAACGCUGUGCUGAAGUAUCUGAAGAAUAAUGUUGCUGAUCUUCUCAAGAUUGGCCUUGAUAUUAAUGUAUAUGGAAGGUUCUCACCUAAAAAUAAAGAAGCUCAUUUUUGUGCUGCUGUAGGUGGAGCUGGGAGCAGCACAGCAGGUCAAAAAGGCAUGCCUGGUGCUCUAGCAAAUAUGACAUAAAGCGUACUUUCAACAAAUUGAAGAUGUUCAGAAAUAUUGAAAGGCUUUAACGGACAUGAGAAGGGAGUUCUUUCCAAACAAAAGACAUGAAUGAGCUGUUAGAGUUCCACAAGAAAUUAGAAUCCAUUCAUGAACAUUUGACUGAUUCCACUUUUGUUGUUAUUGUUUGUUAAUCUUCAUUUUCAUUAUAAUUACAUAAUAUGCCAUUUUCCAAAGUGCAGGUUUUAUCAAGGUUUGAAGGAAUCCCUACAAAGAAGUUAAAAACUAUGAGGACAGCAGCAGCACUCCACUCAUAAUUAAAUGCAAUGAUCAAAGAACUACACAUUUGGAAAAUAGAGGCUCCCGUUUUGUCUGCUCAUUGACAAGACUGAGCGUUAUUUCACCAAGAUCAGAAGGAGAAAUAGGUAAACCGGAGCAAACAAAAGAUGAAGAAAUUAAGAAAUUUCAGAGUCAAAAGACCCACUGACUUCAAUAUCCUCAUCCGGGAAAGAAGAGAAGUACAGACCAGUGGAGAGGCGUAGACUACUGGAACUCAAACUGAUAAGAAGCAAUUAAAAGGAUGCGUUAAAAACUUAAAAAUGCUCUGGAGGGCAGUUCAAGGUUUAUACAUUCGCUGGUGGACAUGAUCUUGCAAUAAUUUUCCAAUAAUUUUGAUCUCUUUAAUUGACUUAAUUUUUGUCUAUUUGUAAUGUCUUCAAUUCUGGAAUUUUGCUUUGCUUUGAUCAUCAAGUUGCCAGCGUUGAGUUCAUUUAGAAGUUUUAAUUUUGUUUCUUUAUUUGUGUUAAAAUAUGAUUAGUUUGAUGUGUGGUAUAUGUGUUUUAUCACUUUAGUCAAAUAUCACCUCCUUUUGGGUUAUGUUGUUGAUGAUUGUGAUUCCUUUUUACAACUAAAAUGUUUACAAAUAGGAAAUUCUUGGCAACAUUUGAACAUUUAUAACUAGAAAUCCUUGUUUUCUCUGUUUACAAAUCGGUCAUAGUUUGCUUAAGUUGGAAUUUAUGAUUGUUAUUAAGCGUGAAUGCACUGUUACACUGUUCUAAGUACAGUGAACAGUCAUUGUUGCCCUCAGAUUUCUAGGAAAAUAUGAAGCUGCCAUUCAGGGGGUUGAAAAGUCGUUUUUGACCCUGGAUGGAUAAGGAUUGAUAAAAGAGUUGACUGUGUGUUUGUGGACGUGUAGAGAAGGAAAAGAAGGUUUUGAAUUCAGCGAUUUAGAUCGAGAUUGAAAAACACAGCCAACUGUGUGUUUGUGAACGGGUAAAGAAGGAAGGGUUUGGGUGCGUGUUUGUGGACGGGUAGACAAGGAAAGGAAGGAGAAUAGAGACGGGAAGACUUUGCUGAAAAUAGAAAAAGGCUUGAAAGGAUGAAUAAAUUUUCUUUAAUUUGUGCGCUUAAGAAACUAUGAUUUCACGGUUUGGCAGUUUUCUAAGGUUGAAUUCCUUUCACAAGGCUCUCAAAUCUGGUUUGAAUUGCUUGAGAUAGGUUUUGAAAUCCAGUUUCCUUCAUAAAAGGUUGUAUGCAAAGGAUUCGGUGGAUUAUUCUUUGGCCACUGUUCCUAAUUUUGCUAUCUGCUGUCAGUUCGGUCUGUUAUUGUCAUUCAGAUUUUGGGAACAGUGUGCUGUUGAAUAGUGUAACUGCCCGCAGUUCAGUUAUGGCUUCUGAGAUGAGGUGUAAAAGAGGAAAAAGAUUAUUACAACAACAUGAUCCUGAAAUCUUUGAUGCUGAAGUGUUAAUGCAACCAAUGCACAAUGAUCAGAGGUUUCAUCCGUCAGUAGUUGAAACUGAAAGUAUUGGUUUUGCUGUACAACAAGUGCAUCAGCCUCAGUCAAGAAGAUCAAGACACAGUAAGCAAGUAUUAUGCUUUUGUCUGCGACGACAAACAUCACUCAGAGUUUUGAACAUGUAAACAAACGACUUCGAACUAAUGAGCAAAAUCGUAUUCUAAUGGUGGGUCAAAGUUCAGAUAUCAAUAAUAGAGGUCAAUGUUUCCGAGCAAUUGGUCAGGCAUCAUAUAAAAAAACUAGAGAAGCAGCUCAACUGAAAUUUUAGAGCAGCUAUCAUCUAUUGCAAAUACGGAUCUGACUUUCAUCACCACUACAAGCCUAAACCAUUUGUUGUCAAGCCUGACCAUGUUUGCUAUAUGUACAUAAACACCUGCUAUCAGUAGCAUAUCUAACUUUGAAAUCUACAGAAUUUGAAGGUUUCGUUGGCUGGAAUAUCUACAGAAGAAGAAUAGAGAUUCAAAUCGUGUGGAUGCAGGUACUGUGCACUGGUGACGGGAUUGACGGACGGAGCGGGUGUGCGGAGUCAACUUCGGUAAACGGUUGUAAUGGGAACAGGUUUCGAAGUUUAAUUCCAUUUCUUGAUUGUUUAGUGUUAUCUCAGAAGUAGUUGAUUGAUCAUUUAUUAUAAAUUCGAUUCUCGGAUAUGUCGAUUAUUUCUUGACUCCUUGUUGACUCAAGCUCUAGACGAACAAAUAUUUGAAAUAAAAGUUUUCAAGUUUUCACCUCAA